rnacentral:rRNA from 1 species
CCUGCGGAAGGAUCAUUGUCGAACCUUCGUGGUAGAAUGACUUGUUAAUCUGUACCAAUGCACGAUUCGAGCGUCGGGGCCAUCUUUCUGAUUUGCCCAUGACGAACUAAGACACCGGCGCAGCGGCGUCAAGGAUUGUCAUAAUGAGAGUGCCGCCUCGCAGAGCUCUAUUCUAGUGCUUGUGAGGCGUGCAUCCUUUGAAUAAAAAUGACUCUCGGCAAUGGAUAUCUCGGCUCUUACACCGAUGAAGAACGUAGCGAAAUGCGAUACUUGGUGUGAAUUGCAGGAUCCCGUGAACCAUCGAAACUUUGAACGCAAGUUGCGCCUCAAGCCAUUAGGUUGAGGGCACGUUUGCUUGGGUGUCAUGCAUUAUUAUUGUGUCUCCGCUGCUCGUGAGUGGAGUGGGAGUGGAUGGUGGCCUCCUGGGCCCUUCCUUGGGUGUGGUUGGCCGAAAAUGUUGUCCUUGAUUUUGUUGAUGUCUUGGUGUGCGGUGGAUGUGCCAAGUGUGCAUGAUUGCCAUCCUUGCUCGACUUCAUUGUGGCGUUCGGAUCCUAUGAAGCUGGCGGUGUUGGCUCUUUGUUUGCGACCCCAAGUCAGGCGAGACUAC